AAAAUGUACUUUUACUACUUUACCAACCAUAAGAGUAACAUAAAUAAGAACGUAAAUGUAUAUCCUUUUAUUAUUAUAAUUAAAAAGGGAAAUAUAAAAUGUAAAAUUUAUUGCUAUAUAAAUUAUAUGUUAAUAAUAAAUAUUUAAAACUUCAAUGGUAAUAUAUAUAUAUAUAUAUUUAUAUAUAUACAAAAUAAACGUUACAAUACUUUUGUUCAUUUAUAUAUUUUCUUUAUUUCACAUUUAACCAUUUUUAAUUAAAUAAAAACUUCAUUUACUUUCAAAUGUCCUUAUAAAUAUAAAAGUAUAUUAAAAAAUAUCCUUUUCUUACGAAAAAAAUAUAAUAAAAUAAAAACAUAGUAACUCUUAAUUUAUAAAUAUAUUCUGAUGAAUAUUAUUACUAAAAAUAUUUUCUUUUUGUUGAUAUUAUUAAUAAAUAUAUUUAUAAAGCCAAGGUAAUACAGAUUUAAAUAUAAUAUAUAUAUCUAUAUCAAAAUAAUUGAGAAAACUGAAAAAAAAAAAAAGAAAAGAAAAAUAUUCUCUUUAAUAUUGAAACAAUAUAUAAUAUUAUUACAUAAUAAAUAUUUUGUUUUUGGAACUAAUAAGGAUCGUUAUAAAAUAAAUAUUAGCAACAUAAAAAAUAAGAUGAUUAAGAAUAUUUAAAAUAUAAUAUAUAUAUAUAUAUGAAUACUUUUGAGAGCUUGCGAAUAAAAUUUUUUCCUUUUUAUUACGAAAAAAAAAAAAUUAAAGU
rnacentral:sRNA from 1 species